UCUACUUUUUCUCUCUCAUUCUUUUUCUUUUUCUCUUUUUCUCUCGUCGUUUCUCGCUCUCUUCUUUUCUUUCCCGUUCGUUUUACAUGUCGUUCUUGUGUUUGAUCGUUGUUGUUGAACGUUUGAUGAACAUGGUUUGUUGUAUUGAGCGUUGAGGACGAUGAUGAGCACGAUGAUGGUGAUGUUGAUGUUACUAGGUUCGUGAUGAACGGUGUUGAACGAUUUUGGAUGAAUGAGUUGAGUUGGUUGAAGAUCUAUGAAGAUGAUGACGAAAGCUGCGAUUCUGAAUCUCGGGUGAGAAUUAGGGUUUGUUUCUGACUUGGUUAGCAGGCCUUUGAUAAAUUCUGUAUUGGGCUUUCAAUUCUCAUUUUCUAAAUCAUGCGGGGGAAGAUCUGACCCUUCCAUGGGAUUAGGGUUUCAGGAGAUCUCGGUCACAAGUUCUUUUCCAAUAUGGUAUGUUUUA